UACGUAGGGUGCGAGCGUUAAUCGGAAUUACUGGGCGUAAAGCGUGCGCAGGCGGUGAUGUAAGACAGGUGUGAAAUCCCCGGGCUUAACCUGGGAACUGCGCUUGUAACUGGCAAGCUAGAGUGUGGCAGAGGGGGGGUGGAAUUCCACGUGUAGCAGUGAAAUGCGUAGAGAUGUGGAGGAACACCGAUGGCGAGGGCAGCCCCCUGGGCUAACCACGUGACGCCUCAUGCACGAAAGCGUAGGGGGAGCGGAAACAAGGAUUGAGAAACCCCAGU
rnacentral:rRNA from 1 species